rnacentral:rRNA from 1 species
GUGGUGUAAAGGAUGUUCCGCCUAUUAAUUUACUUUAUUUAUGUUGGUGUAUAUCUGGUUUAAUAUUAUUGUUUAAUAAUUUAAUUUGUGUAUUGUUAAAUUAAGCCAAGUCUAUGUGCUGCUUAUUAAAGUAUUCAUGCGUUACAUUUAUAAGGUUACAUUUGUAAAAAUGUAAUAUUUAGGACUUAAAAGUAAUAUUAAAUUAAUUUGUUAGUGUGAAAAAAGUUUAGCUCAUGUACACACCGC